rnacentral:lncRNA from 1 species
ACCCAUCUUUUUGCAUUUGUUCAACAAUCUUAUGUUUAAUCUCCCAAGUUGACACUUCGACACCGUGUUUCCAUUUUGUUUUGUCCAGUGGUGUAGAGAGCAGUGCAUGCUUUAUGAGUCUUUCCAUUCCUAUUAACUGGAUUGAUCGACGCAUCAAAAUUAUUUAAGAAAGAGAUACCAAAGAGUUGUAAACAAGUAUGUGCCUCAGUCGUUUUUUUGUUUACCGUAUAUUUGAGAUCUGUCCAGUUUGUCAUAUUUUCUCCAAAUGAAUCCAAAACAUGUAUUUCACCUUCUGAAGCAUUCACGACCGCUAGGUACCAGUGAAACUUUGUAAUGUUGAUCGGAAGAAAGACCUGCAGAAAUAUAGAUUUAUAUAAAUUAUUUAUUUACUUUUGAAAGGGUUUAAAAAUUUACAUGACAUUUUUUAUAGUGAAGCCUACCAUAUCAACAUCUAAAUAAUUUUGAACCCUUGUCUCAACCACGUCGUGUUGAGUAUAGCUCAAUUUCGUCUCAUCUUGCUCUCCGUCACCUCGUAGCAAUUGAGAAAACCAUGUAUUCUCCAAAUAAACAGAUCCACCUUCUCUACGAAGAAGGUGCUCUUCAUUCUGCAUCAAUUGUAUAUAAAGACUUAUAACCUGCA